CGGAACGGGGUCACCAGCGUGGAGGCUGUAUUUCCCUCGGUUCCACAAAGGUAUAUUCAAAGAGGAGUGGCAGUCGGGGAAAUUUCAACCAGGCAUCGCUUCAAAUGCAGUCAGUAUCACUCAACCUGAGCCUUAUCAGCUGCUGAACGGAGAGAAGAGUCUGCCUAAGUCUAGACGUUGGAAGUCGAAUAAUGGCAAAGACAAGGCUCUGAAGACAGAGAUGCCUGAACUGACCUGAGCAAUGAAGUUUUUGGGUGAUUGGACGAGACAUAGUGUCAGACGUUUUAAGAUGAUAUUUCUGUACCUUCUGCAAAGUUACUUUCCAGUGUGAAAGAAGGAUUCUAGAAGGCUGCACAUCUGUGGAUAACUAAGAACAUUAAAGGCGCAUAAAAUUGAAAGAUGACAAAAAUCAAAAUUAUGUGAAGAUGACAAAGAAUUUAACAAUAGUAUAGAGUUUUUAAAAGGUGGGAAUAGGGGAUAAACUCACCAGAAAUAUGAAAACAGAGGUUCUAAAAUAAACAUGUAUUAUUCUUCCACUGAGUUUGGGAAUGAAUAUUAGAUAUUAAGGAAUUGACAGAAAUGUUGAACAGAUAUUUUUGGGGUGUGUGCAUUGUAUGUACGUAACAGCACCACAACUGGCUCUGAUGUAGAGGAGGAUCCAUCUGAGCAAUAGUGGUCGGAGACUCUGGUUAGGGGCACAGACAGGCGUUUCUGUGGCCACGAUUGAGACUCCUGGAUGAUGUGUUGCAUCCUUAGCGUCAGGGUCAAGGGUGUCUCUGAGUGGUUGCAUGAAAUUCUUAAGGGGCAGGGUAGCAGCCAGAGGUCUUUGUGCACAUUGGUACCGAUGAUGUAGGUACGAAGAGGGAUGAGAUCCUGUGGAGUGAGUACAGGGAAUUAGGAAAGAGGCUGAAGAGCAGUACCUCAAGGGUAGUAAUCUCUGGAUCACAACCAGUGAUAUGUGCUAAUGAGGCAAGGAAUAGAAAGAUAGGACAAAUGAAUGUGUAGCCAAGGAGCUGCUGCAGAGGUCAGGGUUUCAGGUUCUUGGAUCAUUGGGACCUGUUCUGGAGUGGUGGUGGGACAGGCCUGGACAAGGGGGACAGGUUGCACCUAAACUGGAGUGGAACUAUUAUCUUUGCAGGAAGUUUCGCUAGUGCUACUUAGGAGGUUUUAAACUAGUGUGGCAGGGUUCUGGGAACCUGGGCAGCAGAUCAUCAAGUAGAGGGAUUGAGGGCAAAGUAGAUGCUUAGAGCAGUAAAUCAGAAUGUCACGUCUGCACUCAGAGGACCUGCUGGAGAUCUCAUCCACUGAGGCAACAUGGCUAGAGCUCAAAAAUAAAAUGCAUGCAAUCAGUCUGAUAGGAUUAUACUGUAGACCCCAACAGCCACUGAGAGUCUGAGGAACAAAUAUGUAAGCAGAUUAUGGAAUGGUGCAACAAAAACAGAGUUGUCAUAGUUGGGAGUGACUUUAAUGUCCCUGGAUUGACUGGGACUCGCUUAGAGCAAAAGGCUUAGAGGGGGCAGAAUUUAAGUGCAUCCAAGAGCGUUUUUUGAAACAGUAUGUGGAGAGCCCAACUGGAGGACGGGCCAUACUGGACCUUGUAUUGGCUGAUGAGCCUGGCCAGGUGACUGAUCUUUCAGUGGGAGAGCAUUUUGGAAACAGUGAUCGCAACUCCUUAAGUAUUAAGAUAGCUAUGAACAAGGAAAAGUCAGGACCUUGUGGGAAAGUACUAAGUGGGGGAGGGAAAAUUUACGUCAGUAUUCUCACAAUAGUAUUUAUGUAUAUUUGGAAAAGCGUGGCCGAAUUAGAGACAGUUAGCAUAGUUUUGUGCAGGUCAGGUCAUGUCUUACCAACUUGAUUUAAUUUUUUGAGGCGGUGACGACCAGGUCCCUCGUGGUAGGUUCGUCCAAAAGAUUAAGAUGUGUGGGAUCCAUGGUGACGUGGUCACAUGGAUUGAUAAUUGGUUUGCCUGUAAAAAACGGAGGGUAGUGGUGGAAGGUUGUGUUUCAGGCUGGAAGUUUGUGACUAGUGGUGUUCCGCAGGGAUCCAUACUGGGACCUUUGCUGUUUUGUGAUAUAUGUGACUUGGAUGAAAAUGUACACAGGUUGGCUCAUAAGUUUGCAGAUGAUAUGAAGCUCGGUGGAGUUGUGAAUAGUGUGAAAGAUUGUCAAAGGAUACAGAGAUAUAUAGUUCAGUUCCCGAAUAUAGAUUGAGAAAUGGCAGAUAGAGUUUAAUCACGAUAAGUAUGAGGUAAAUCACUUUGAGAGAUCAAAUGUUAAAGAAUGGCAUGGCCCUCACAGCACUGAUGUACAGAAGCAUCUUGGGGUUCAAGUCCAUAGUUCCCUGAAAGUAGCCGUACAGUUAGAUAGGGUGGUAAAGAAGGCGUAUGGCAUGCUUGCCUUUAUGGUUGGGGAAUUGAAUACAAGAGUCAGGAUGUCAUGUUGCAACUUUACAAGACAUUGGUUAGGCCACACUGAAGAGUAUUGUGUUCAGUUCUGGUUGCCACAUUACAGGAAUGGUGUGGAGGCUUUGGAGAGGGUGCAGAAGCUGUUUACCAGGAUGCUGCCUGGAAUAGAGGGUAUGAGCUAUAAGGAGAAGCUAGAACAACUCUGGUUGAUUCCUCUUGAGCAGGGGAGGCUUGAAAGAAGUGUGUAAAAUUAUGAGAUACAUAAAUAGCGUUGCUGGUCAGACUCUUUCUCCCAGCGUUGAAAUGUCUAAAACAAGGGGGCAUGCAUUUAAGGUUAUGGGGGAAGGUUCAGAGAGGAUGCGAGAGGUAUGCUUUUACGCACAGAAUGCUAGGAGUUUGGAAUGUGCUGCUGGGAUGAUGGCUGAGGCACAUACAGCAGGGGCAUUUAAGAGACUUUUAGAGAAGCACAUGAUAUGCAAAGAUUGGAGGGAUUUGGAGCAAGGGCAGGCAUUUGGCGUCAUGUUUGUCUCAAUGUCAUGGACCGAAGGGCCUGAUCCUGUGCUGUGAAGUUCUGUAAUCUAUCAAAAUUAAGGCAUGGAAGGGAGACAGAAACUUGAAAGAAUCACAGUCAUCAAAGAAAGGAUACAGAGACAGUGAUUAGAACUGAAGAUUGACAAGUAUCCAGAAUUUGAUGGCCUGCAUCUAGGAGUCUGAGAAGCAGUGGCUGUGGAAAUACCGCAUGCUCUAGUUCUACUUUUCCAAAAUAUUCACAAUUCUGUAAAGAUCCCUUCAAAUUAAAAAAUCACAAAUAUAAUUCCACUGUUCAAGAAACAAAAGAUACAGGAAGCAGGAAUUAACAGGCUUCUGAGCCUGAUUUUGAUCACAGAGGUUGUUAGAAUCUAUUUGGGAGGUUAUUAGAAUGACACUUAGAAGAACGAAAUGCAGUCUACAGAGUCAGUUGGGUCUGUGACGGAAAAUAGCAUUUGACAAGUUUAUUACUGUUUUUUGGGGAAUCAGUGUGGAUAAAACGCACCCUGCAGACGUGUUCUGAGAUUUCUAAGUGACAUUUUAAUAAGUGACGACACGAAAAGCUUCUGGUGAAGAGAAUGAUAUGAAUAUGAAUACCGGAUUGGUUAGAUAACAGGGAGCAGAGAGUGGAGAUAGCUGGAUGAUUUGCGGGUCAGAGCUGUAAUUAGUUAAGUGCCACAGGGAUCAGUGUUGGGACUUCAAUUUUCUUAUGACUUCAGUGACGAGACUGACUAUAUCAUCACUGUAUUUGUUGAUUUAAAAGUAGGUAGGAAAUGAAGUUAUAAAAAGGAUAGGAGGCAUUUGGGAUAAGUGAGCAGGAAAGAAAAUGACAGAUGGAAUAAAAUGUAAGAAAAUAUGGACUUGUGCAAUUUGUCAAGAAGACUAGAAAUGAGACAUGUUUCAGUUAGAGAUAAUAGGAACUGCAGACGCUGGAGAAUCCGAGAUAACAAAGUGUAGAGCUGGAUGAACACUGCAGGCCAAGCAGCAUCUU